GGCUGCUGGUGGCUCAGUUGGUGUGUGUGCACCAUGAGCAGAGGCUAUAGUCCAUGAGGCGGUUGUCCUGGGUUCGAUUCCCGGUCUCAGGCCA